rnacentral:misc_RNA from 1 species
UCAAACUUGGUCAUUUAGAGGAAGUAAAAGUCGUAACAAGGUUUCCGUAGGUGAACCUGCGGAAGGAUCAUUAAAGAAUUAAUGAGGGUUGAUGCUGGUGUUCAUUCACAUGUGCUCGCUCUCUUAAUCCAUUCACACCUGUGCACUUGUAUUUUGAAGAAGGCGAGGUUAUUUCUAAUGGAAUAGACUCUCUUCUUUGAAACUCUUACACAAACUCAUUUAAUAUCAAGAAUGUUUAUCUGCCGCAAGGCAAAAAUUAAUACAACUUUUAACAACGGAUCUCUUGGCUCUCGCAUCGAUGAAGAACGCAGC